CAUGGGCCUGUUACCCAGGACAGGUGUCCCUCAUUUCCACCUCUUAUGUAAGGUAGGCCUGCAAGGCAGAUGUGUCCUCUUGAUAGGUGGUACCUUGCUUCUGCUGAGGGCAGGUGAUUGUGACACAAAUACUUCUUUUCAGGAGCAGCUGCUCUAAAAAAAACAUCCUUUUUUUUAGGAAUCUGUGCCUUCUUAGGCUGAAGAUUUAAGUGAACACUGAUGUGGAGCCCCACCAUGAGAAACCCAGAAGGAAGAGCACUUACAAAAUGACAUUAGACUAGAUUUAUAAUAACAGAGGAGCAGCUACCAGGGUUGAUUUUCCAGCCAGCUCCUACUUGAAUGUCAGAGUGUCUGUGAAAGUUUCACCACUUUAUGUGUAGGUGAAAAAAGCAAAGGCAUACAGGAAAAACAAUUGGGUUUUAUCAUUUUAAUAGUUUAAUUUCCCAGGGAAGAAAUUGACCAACACACACACACACACCCCCACACCCACAUCCACCCACCCACAUUUUUCUUUGAUUUUUGUACUUUUAACCUUCAAAUAUUUUACAGUUUCAGAGGACUCUCUGUGUUGAUUUAUGCUAAAUGAUACUAACAGAGUUGUCUCAGUGUAAGGGGCAUCCAUACAGAAAACAAAGACUGCCAUUCCUGACUUACUCGGCAUCUUGCUGACUUUCAGUAACUUUGGCAUUAAUGGGGCAAAAUGCUCAACCCUAACAAUUUAAAGGAGGAAAGAUUCAUUCUGACUCAGCUCUUCCAGCAAACCCAGUCCUGUUAAUUUCUGGCCUACAUCAGAUGACACUGACUUUCUUCUGGAUAACAAGAAGCCUGUCGAUCCUUUUUCUGGGAAAGCAGAUGAUGGAGGAAAACAGGCAGGAAAUAGAAAAACAAAAGUUUAUAUGGAUUGAUUCUCACUGGAUCAGUGGAAAUCACUGAGAAUUUACUGGGCAGCUUCUCCUUAGACAUGUCCCCAACUUUCACAAAAAAUGGUUGUGUAACUGUCCCUGGAAAUUGAUGGAAAAACGAGGUGCUUCCAGGAUAAAGAGGAACUGGGGGAAUUUGCAACCACCAAUUCAACCCUACAGAAAGUAUUGCAGGAUAUUCUAAAAAAAGAAAAAUACAAAGAACCCAGAAAUAGUGGCGGGGAGGCCACAACGAAUGGAGCAGAGAACAAAAUGAAGAAGACAAACUGACAGCUACUGACAGAAAAAGAGCUCAACAGAAAUGAGACAGAGAAGAUUGGAUGAUAGGAACAGCUAUUUUGGAGAAAAUGACAUCUUAACAGGUAAUACUGAUUUAGUAUCAUGUUUUUGAAGUCUCAUCAAACUUUUGUUCUUCUGUCUCCAAUGGUCUAAACAGGUUGUAUCUUACUGGAUUUUAUUAUGUACGAUAGUAUAAGCAAAAACCUUUUAAAGACAAGGAGAUUAUACAGAAACCAUUGUUCAUUUUCUGUUAGUCGAUUCUAAAUACUCUGUAAUGCUGUCAUUCUCUUAAAUGGUUUUACAUUGUUUUGAUAUACUUAAUGCUACAGUAUACGAAGUUGUACUCAAGGACUUCAAGGAAAGAGUCAAUAUGGUAACUACUUUUGGGUCGGAAUUAUCUGGUGGUGAAACACUAUUCUGCUUAAAUGGUUAUGUUUUGAUCUGCGCUGUUUCGCUGUUAUGCCCUCUUUUUUCUCAAUCUCCACUCCAUUAUUUACUUUUUUAUUUUUAUCCGUUUAAUUAAAGGGGAAAAAAUAGCAGGAUAUAAUAUAGUAACCCACUUUGACUUUCUAUUAUCUCGAUUUGAAGCCCUGUAAUACUCUCACCAUCUUGUUUUUGACUGAUGUUCCUCUAUUCUGUUUUGCUGGAUAGUAUCAGGUUCGAAAGUUUAGGCAUCAGCUGUGAAGAUUAUGAGAUUCAUUAUAACGCCCAUUCUCGUUGACUUUUAUCUACUUUUGAAGACCUACAAUGUCUCCAAUGUUUUGGUUUUGUCGGUUUUGUUCUUUACUGUUUUGUUCAAUUGUAUUAUAACUAAUGAUAUAGGCAAUUCUAUUAGAGAUAGCGGGAGGCAUUAUGGUAACCAUUGUUGAUCACCUUGUAUUAUGUUUUUAUAUUAUCUAUUAUGUCCACCCUUUUGACUUGACCGAUUCUGUUUUGUUAUGUCUCAUUUGGUUUUACUCUCUUCCAAAAAAGCAAUAAGAACCAUGGGAGCAAUGAAACCCAAAAUGUGUAAUAGUCAUUGUACAAAAGAGAGGAAAAGAAAGUGCUCUAAACUAUAUAACUGCAUGUAUAUUUAAGUGUAUAAGAUAGAAAAUGAUAUCACAGAGUUUUAUUGGAUCAUUGAACAGAAGUGUUUGCAGUAUCAUUGUUGGAAUGUCCACUCUACAAGCUUUAAUUUUGUGACUUGAACAAUUAUUUCUAAGAUGGCAAUAUGUAAUCCAUUAACUAAUGAUUUCCUACUGUUCAUUUUUUUCGUCUGUAAAUCUGUAUAACUUGUACCCUUUCACUGUUUUUUUU